AGAGUUUGAUCCUGGCUCAGGAUGAACGCUGGCGGCGUGCUUAACACAUGCAAGUCGAGCGGAAAAAUGAAGGUUGGAAUUUAUAAUAUAGCGGCGGACGGGUGAGUAACGUGUGGGUAACCUGCCAUAUACUGGGGAAUAAUCAUUUGAAAAGAUGACUAAUACCGCAUGUCGUCACUAAGGGGCAUCUCUUGGUGAAAAAAGGAGUAAUCCGGUAUAUGAUGGACCCGCAUCUGAUUAGCUAGUUGGUGGGGUAAAAGCCUACCAAGGCAACGAUGAGUAGCCGACCUGAGAGGGUGAUCGGCCACACUGGAACUGAGACACGGUCCAGUCUCCUACGGGAGGCAGCAGUGGGGAAUAUUGCGCAAUGGGGGAAACCCUGACGCAGCAACGCCGCGUGAGUGAAGAAGGCUUUCGAGUCGUAAAACUCUGUCUUCAGGGAAGAAAAAUGACGGUACCUGAGGAGGAAGCCCCGGCUAACUACGUGCCAGCAGCCGCGGUAAUACGUAGGGGGCAAGCGUUGUCCGGAAUCACUGGGCGUAAAGGGCGCGUAGGCGGUAUAUUAAGUCAGGUGUGUAAACUUUGGGCUUAACCCAGAGAUUGCACUUGAUACUGGAAUACUUGAGUGCAGGAGAGGGCAGUGGAAUUCCUAGUGUAGCGGUGAAAUGCGUAGAUAUUAGAGGAACACCAGUGGCGAAGACGGCUGCCUGGACUGUAACUGACGCUGAGCGCGAAAGCGUGGGGAGCGAACAGGAUUAGAUACCCUGGUAGUCCACGCCGUAAACGAUGGGUACUAGUGUAGGAGGUAUCGACCCCUUCUGUGCCGAGUUAACANAUAAGUACCCCGCCUGGGAGUACGCCGCANNUGAAACUCAAAGGAAUUGACGGGGCCCGCACAAGCGGGUGAGCAUGUGGUUUAAUUCA
rnacentral:rRNA from 1 species